rnacentral:RNase_P_RNA from 1 species
CGAGUCGGCCAGAUGAUCGCGGCCACUUCGGUGGCUGAGGAAAGUCCGGACUCCACAGAGCAGGGUGGUGGGUAACGCCCACCCGGGGUGACCCGCGGGACAGUGCCACAGAAAACAGACCGCCUGGCAACAGGUAAGGGUGAAACGGUGGUGUAAGAGACCACCAGCGUGCCGGGUGACCGGCGCGGCUCGGUAAACCCCACCCGGAGCAAGACCAAGAAGGUCGGCCUUCGGGCCGGCUGCGGACGCCACUUGAGCGCUGCUCGCGCGAGGCGUCCGGGUAGGUUGCAGGAGCCCGGCGGCAACGUCGGGCCUCAGAUAGAUGAUCAUCUGCGAAACAGAAUCCGGCUUACCGGCCGGCUCGUCCA